rnacentral:rRNA from 1 species
AGAUGGCGACCGGCGCACGGUGAGUAACACGUAUCCAACCUGCCGAUAACUCGGGGAUAGCCUUUCGAAAGAAAGAUUAAUACCCGAUGGUAUAAUCAGACCGCAUGGUCUUGUUAUUAAAGAAUUUCGGUUAUCGAUGGGGAUGCGUUCCAUUAGGCAGUUGGUGAGGUAACGGCUCACCAAACCUUCGAUGGAUAGGGGUUCCGAGAGGAAGGUCCCCCACAUUGGAACUGAGACACGGUCCAA